UACGGGGGGGGCAAGCGUUGUUCGGAAUUACUGGGCGUAAAGGGCUCGUAGGUGGCCAACUAAGUCAGACGUGAAAUCCCUCGGCUUAACCGGGGAACUGCGUCUGAUACUGGAUGGCUUGAGUUUGGGAGAGGGAUGCGGAAUUCCAGGUGUAGCGGUGAAAUGCGUAGAUAUCAGGAGGAACACCGGUGGCGAAGGCGGAUCUCUGGGCCAUUACUGACGCUGAGGAGCGAAAGCGUGGGGAGCGAACAGG
rnacentral:rRNA from 1 species